CAAUAGCGUAUAUUAAAGUUGUUGCAGUUAAAAAGCUCGUAGUUGGAUUUGUGGCUGUUGCUGUCCGUUCUUCACUUGUUGUUGAGUUGGUUGGCGUCGCCAUCCUUGGGUGGAUCCUGUGUGGCAUUAGGUUGUCGUGCAGGGGAUGCCCAUCUUUUACUGUGAAAAAAUUAGAGUGUUCAAAGCAGGCUUAUGCCGUUGAAUAUAUUAGCAUGGAAUAAUGAGAUAGGACCUUGGUACUAUUUUGUUGGUUUGCGCACCAAGGUAAUGAUUAAUAGGGACAGUUGGGGGUAUUCGUAUUCCAUUGUCAGAGGUGAAAUUCUUGGAUUUCUGGAAGACGAACUACUGCGAAAGCAUUUACCAAGGAUGUUUUCAUUAA
rnacentral:rRNA from 1 species